AAAAAGAGAGUUGCAUGCGUAUAAUAUCUUUACAAGAAGAAACCUUUAAUUUUCCGGCGAUAUUCCGGUGAACAGAAGCAAAUAAUGGCAACUUCUGCAGCGACUGAUGUUGUCCCCGACGUUGACAAUCAGGAAACUUUUGGUGUUGAUCCUGAUGGAGUAUUAGAGCCAGAGAUUAGUUCAGAUUUUCAGGUUGAUCCUCACGAUUUUACUACUUCUAAACACUUCAAGGUAAUUUUAUUAAUUUAGCACUAUUAGUAUUGUGUUGUUCUUAUAUUUAUUUAUGUUGAAUUUAUAAUACGAGUAUUAUUUUUUUAGUUUAGUUUAGUUUAGUUUUUUUGUUAAGCCAAACCUAAGGAAAGGAAAGGAAACGAAAGGAGGGGAGGGGAAUAACUUACUUAGACCAUAUUUGUUUGUAAAAAGCAUACAUAGAUCGAACUAUUUGUCUUAAUCUAAAAUUAUUUCGGAUUAUUUAAUUUUUUGAAGAGGAACUAAUAGUCACUUAUGUUACGUUUGGAUUAGAGUAAUGAAUGUGAGAAUGGAAUGAAAAAAUUGUGUUUGGUUGCGAUUGAAAUGGAUUGAAACAUUGUUAUUAAUUUUUUUCAAAUUUAUGAAUUUUAUUCCAAACGGAGAGAAUGAAAUAACUCAUUCAAAUUAUAAUCUAUUUCAUUCUUUUAAUUCAAACAUAGUAUUAAUGUGAGAUUAUUAGUCUCAUAAAACUAUUUGAUAAUAGCUUAAAAUAGGGAGACUACGUCCAUCAUGGGAUUAAAUAGUCCAUCAUUAAUAGCCUUAGAAAUAAUAAAAAAAAUUAUAGAUAAAAUAAUCUGAAAUAAUAUUAAAUUAAGACAAAUAAUACAAUCUCAAAUAUAUACUUUUUUGUAAACAAAAAUGGCCUUAGUGUCUUAAUCUGCUCCCGUUGUCGCCUUCUCGUACUCCCAACCUCUAUUGAUUGAUAAAAGUGUGUCGUAUGUAUUGAAGGAAGAAGCUGAUGAAGCCAGCAAAGAAAGCUGGUAAUGAUGGAGUUGAAAAUUUGAAAUCAGGCCUUCUAAUAUCUGCGGCAGUUAUAGUAAUAGCUGGGGCUGUAUAUGCUGCUGUAGGCAGGAGGAAGAUCAAAUAAGCACAAAAUGCAUGCAUGCUGCUGCCUGCUGGUGCUGGAUAUAUUAAUUAAUCUUUGAAUUUACUAGUAUAUGAGUGUAUGAGAACUUAGAGAAGAUGAAGAUCCCUUAAAUUAUUUUGUUACAACUGCUGCAUUAAUUUAAAUUUUAACACCAUAUAUGUUUUUGAGCUACCACAAGAGUAAUAUUUAUUAUAAC
rnacentral:lncRNA from 1 species